rnacentral:rRNA from 1 species
AUUGAACGCUGGCGGCAUGCCUUACACAUGCAAGUCGAACGGCAGCGCGGACUUCGGUCUGGCGGCGAGUGGCGAACGGGUGAGUAAUGUAUCGGAACGUACCAUUCAGUGGGGGAUAACGCAGCGAAAGUUGCGCUAAUACCGCAUAUUCUGUGCGCAGGAAAGCAGGGGAUCGCAAGACCUUGCGCUGAUUGAGCGGCCGAUAUCAGAUUAGCUAGUUGGUGAGGUAAAGGCUCACCAAGGCGACGAUCUGUAGCGGGUCUGAGAGGAUGAUCCGCCACACUGGAACUGAGACACGGUCCAGACUCCUACGGGAGGCAGCAGUGGGGAAUUUUGGACAAUGGGCGCAAGCCUGAUCCAGCCAUGCCGCGUGAGUGAAGAAGGCCUUCGGGUUGUAAAGCUCUUUCGGCCGGGAAGAAAUCGCAUGGGUUAAUACCCUGUGUGGAUGACGGUACCGGCAUAAGAAGCACCGGCUAACUACGUG